rnacentral:rRNA from 1 species
UCCUACGGGAGGCAGCAGUUGGGCGCAAGCCUGAUCCAGCCAUGCCGCGUGAGUGAUGAAGGCCCUAGGGUUGUAAAGCUCUUUUGUGCGGGAAGAUAAUGACGGUACCGCAAGAAUAAGCCCCGGCUAACUUCGUGCCAGCAGCCGCGGUAAUACGAAGGGGGCUAGCGUUGCUCGGAAUCACUGGGCGUAAAGGGUGCGUAGGCGGGUCUUUAAGUCAGGGGUGAAAUCCUGGAGCUCAACUCCAGAACUGCCUUUGAUACUGAGGAUCUUGAGUUCGGGAGAGGUGAGUGGAACUGCGAGUGUAGAGGUGAAAUUCGUAGAUAUUCGCAAGAACACCAGUGGCGAAGGCGGCUCACUGGCCCGAUACUGACG